rnacentral:rRNA from 1 species
GAUGAACGCUGGCGGCGUGCCUAAUACAUGCAAGUCGAGCGAAUGGAUUAAGAGCUUGCUCUUAUGAAGUUAGCGGCGGACGGGUGAGUAACACGUGGGUAACCUGCCCAUAAGACUGGGAUAACUCCGGGAAACCGGGGCUAAUACCGGAUAACAUUUUGAACCGCAUGGCUCGAAAUUGAAAGGCGGCUUCGGCUGUCACUUAUGGAUGGACCCGCGUCGCAUUAGCUAGUUGGUGAGGUAACGGCUCACCAAGGCAACGAUGCGUAGCCGACAUGAGAGGGGGGUCGGCCACCCUGGGACUGGGACACGGCCCAGACUCCUACGGGAGGCAGCAGUAGGGAAUCUUCCGCAAUGGACGAAAGUCUGACGGAGCAACGCCGCGUGAGUGAUGAAGGAUUUCGGGUCGUAAAACUCUGUUGUUAGGGAAGAACAAGUGCUAGUUGAAUAAGCUGGCACCUUGACGGUACCUAACCAGAAAGCCACGGCUAACUACGUGCCAGCAGCCGCAGUAA